UCAGGAUGAACGCUAGCGGCAGGCUUAACACAUGCAAGUCGAGGGGCAUCGGGAGUAGCAAUACUGCCGGCGACCGGCGCAAGGGUGCGUAACGCGUGAGCAACAUGCCCGUAUCAGGGGGAUAAUCCAUGGAAACGUGGUCUAAUACCCCAUAGUAAUUAUGUAAGGCAUCUUAUAUAAUUUAAAGCUUUGGUGGAUACGGAUUGGCUCGCGUGACAUUAGCUAGAUGGUAAGGUAACGGCUUACCAUGGCUACGAUGUCUAGGGGUUCUGAGAGGAAGGCCCCCCACACUGGAACUGAGACACGGUCCAGACUCCUACGGGAGGCAGCAGUGAGGAAUAUUGGACAAUGGAUGGAAAUCUGAUCCAGCCAUGCCGCGUGCAGGAAGACGGCCCUAUGGGUUGUAAACUGCUUUUGUAUGGGAGCAAUAAGGGCUACGCGUAGUCCGAUGAGAGUACCAUACGAAUAAGCACCGGCUAACUCCGUGCCAGCAGCCGC
rnacentral:rRNA from 1 species